rnacentral:rRNA from 1 species
UACGAAGGGGGCGAGCGUUGUUCGGAAUUACUGGGCGUAAAGGGCGCGUAGGCGGCCCGUUAAGUCGGACGUGAAAUCCCCAGGCUCAACCUGGGAACUGCGUCCGAUACUGGCGGGCUUGAAUCCGGGAGAGGGAUGCGGAAUUCCAGGUGUAGCGGUGAAAUGCGUAGAUAUCUGGAGGAACACCGGUGGCGAAGGCGGCAUCCUGGACCAUUACUGACGCUGAGGCGGCGAAAGCUAGGGGAGCAAAACGGGG